UACGUAGGGGGCAAGCGUUGUCCGGAUUUAUUGGGCGUAAAGCGCGUGUAGGCGGCCACACAGGUCUGCUGUGAAAACUCGAGGCUCAACCUCGAGCUGUCGGUGGAAACCGUGUGGCUAGAGUCCGGAAGAGGAGAGUGGAAUUCCCGGUGUAGCGGUGAAAUGCGCAGAUAUCGGGAAGAACACCCGUGGCGAAGGCGGCUCUCUGGGACGGUACUGACGCUGAGACGCGAAAGCGUGGGGAGCGAACAGG
rnacentral:rRNA from 1 species